GGGCUGGUGGACUAUCCUGACUUCAACGGCACGGAGGGCAUCGUCCAAAGGUUCGAUUC
rnacentral:tRNA from 1 species